rnacentral:rRNA from 1 species
AUUGAACGCUGGCGGCAUGCCUUACACAUGCAAGUCGAACGUGAAAGGGGGGCAACCCCCGAGUAGAGUGGCGGACGGGUGAGUAAUACAUCGGAACGUGCCCAGUAGUGGGGGACAACCUCGAGAAAUCGAGGCUAAUACCGCAUACGACCUACGGGUGAAAGCGGGGGACCGCAAGGCCUCGCGCUAUUGGAGCGGCCGAUGUCCGAUUAGCUAGUUGGUAGGGUAAAAGCCUACCAAGGCAACGAUCGGUAGCUGGUCUGAGAGGACGACCAGCCACACUGGGACUGAGACACGGCCCAGACUCCUACGGGAGGCAG